UGUUUCGGCUAGGGGGCCAUCCCGGCUUACCAACCCGAUGCAAACUGCGAAUACCGGAGAAUGUUAUCACGGGAGACACACGGCGGGUGCUAACGUCCGUCGUGAAGAGGGAAACAACCCAGACCGCCAGCUAAGGUCCCAAAGUCAUGGUUAAGUGGGAAACGAUGUGGGAAGGCCCAGACAGCCAGGAUGUUGGCUUAGAAGCAGCCAUCAUUUAAAGAAAGCGUAAUAGCUCACUGGUCGAGUCGGCCUGCGCGGAAGAUGUAACGGGGCUAAACCAUGCACCGAAGCUGCGGCAGCGACACUGUGUGUUGUUGGGUAGGGGAGCGUUCUGUAAGCCUGUGAAGGUGUGCUGUGAGGCAUGCUGGAGGUAUCAGAAGUGCGAAUGCUGACAUAAGUAACGAUAAAGCGGGUGAAAAGCCCGCUCGCCGGAAGACCAAGGGUUCCUGUCCAACGUUAAUCGGGGCAGGGUGAGUCGACCCCUAAGGCGAGGCCGAAAGGCGUAGUCGAUGGGAAACGGGUUAAUAUUCCCGUACUUGGUGUUACUGCGAAGGGGGGACGGAGAAGGCUAUGUUGGCCGGGCGACGGUUGUCCCGGUUUAAGCGUGUAGGUGUGUGUUCCAGGUAAAUCCGGUUCACUUUAACACUGAGGCGUGAUGACGAGGCACUACGGUGCUGAAGCAACAAAUGCCCUGCUUCCAGGAAAAGCCUCUAAGCAUCAGGUAACAUCAAAUCGUACCCCAAACCGACACAGGUGGUCAGGUAGAGAAUACCAAGGCGCUUGAGAGAACUCGGGUGAAGGAACUAGGCAAAAUGGUGCCGUAACUUCGGGAGAAGGCACGCUGACACGUAGGUGAAGUGAUUUACUCACGGAGCUGAAGUCAGUCGAAGAUACCAGCUGGCUGCAACUGUUUAUUAAAAACACAGCACUGUGCAAACACGAAAGUGGACGUAUACGGUGUGACGCCUGCCCGGUGCCGGAAGGUUAAUUGAUGGGGUCAGCGCAAGCGAAGCUCCUGAUCGAAGCCCCGGUAAACGGCGGCCGUAACUAUAACGGUCCUAAGGUAGCGAAAUUCCUUGUCGGGUAAGUUCCGACCUGCACGAAUGGCGUAAUGAUGGCCAGGCUGUCUCCACCCGAGACUCAGUGAAAUUGAACUCGCUGUGAAGAUGCAGUGUACCCGCGGCAAGACGGAAAGACCCCGUGAACCUUUACUAUAGCUUGACACUGAACAUUGAGCCUUGAUGUGUAGGAUAGGUGGGAGGCUUUGAAGCGUGGACGCCAGUCUGCGUGGAGCCGACCUUGAAAUACCACCCUUUAAUGUUUGAUGUUCUAACGUGGACCCGUGAUCCGGGUUGCGGACAGUGUCUGGUGGGUAGUUUGACUGGGGCGGUCUCCUCCUAAAGAGUAACGGAGGAGCACGAAGGUUGGCUAAUCCUGGUCGGACAUCAGGAGGUUAGUGCAAUGGCAUAAGCCAGCUUGACUGCGAGCGUGACGGCGCGAGCAGGUGCGAAAGCAGGUCAUAGUGAUCCGGUGGUUCUGAAUGGAAGGGCCAUCGCUCAACGGAUAAAAGGUACUCCGGGGAUAACAGGCUGAUACCGCCCAAGAGUUCAUAUCGACGGCGGUGUUUGGCACCUCGAUGUCGGCUCAUCACAUCCUGGGGCUGAAGUAGGUCCCAAGGGUAUGGCUGUUCGCCAUUUAAAGUGGUACGCGAGCUGGGUUUAGAACGUCGUGAGACAGUUCGGUCCCUAUCUGCCGUGGGCGCUGGAGAACUGAGGGGGGCUGCUCCUAGUACGAGAGGACCGGAGUGGACGCAUCACUGGUGUUCGGGUUGUCAUGCCAAUGGCACUGCCCGGUAGCUAAAUGCGGAAGAGAUAAGUGCUGAAAGCAUCUAAGCACGAAACUUGCCCCGAGAUGAGUUCUCCCUGAGACUACGAGUCUCCUGAAGGAACGUUGAAGACGACGACGUUGAUAGGCCGGGUGUGUAAGCGCAGCGAUGCGUUGAGCUAACCGGUACUAAUGAACCGUGAGGCUUAACCUUACAAC
rnacentral:rRNA from 1 species